GCAUAUCAAUAAGCGGAGGAAAAGAAACCAACAGGGAUUGCCUCAGUAACGGCGAGUGAAGCGGCAACAGCUCAAAUUUGAAAUCUGGCCCUUUCAGGGUCCGAGUUGUAAUUUGUAGAGGAUGUUUCGGGUGUGGCUCCGGUCUAAGUUCCUUGGAACAGGACGUCAUAGAGGGUGAGAAUCCCGUAUGUGACUGGUAGCCUAUGCCCAUGUGAAACUCCUUCGACGAGUCGAGUUGUUUGGGAAUGCAGCUCAAAAUGGGUGGUAAAUUUCAUCUAAAGCUAAAUAUUGGCCAGAGACCGAUAGCGCACAAGUAGAGUGAUCGAAAGAUGAAAAGCACUUUGGAAAGAGAGUUAAACAGUACGUGAAAUUGUUGAAAGGGAAGCGCUUGCAACCAGACUUGCAUGUAGCUGAUCAACCGGUGUUCUCACCGGUGCACUCAGUUGCGUUCAGGCCAGCAUCGGUUUCGACGGUUGGAUAAAGGCCUUGGGAAUGUAGCUCCUCUCGGGGAGUGUUAUAGCCCAGGGUGCAAUGCAGCCUGUUGGGACCGAGGACCGCGCUUCGGCUAGGAUGCUGGCGUAAUGGUUGUAAGCGACCCGUCUUGAAACACGGACCAAGGAGUCUAACAUCUAUGCGAGUGUUUGGGUGUCAAACCCAUACGCGUAAUGAAAGUGAACGGAGGUGAGAACCCUUAAGGGUGCAUCAUCGACCGAUCCUGAUGUCUUCGGAUGGAUUUGAGUAAGAGCAUAGCUGUUGGGACCCGAAAGAUGGUGAACUAUGCCUGAAUAGGGUGAAGCCAGAGGAAACUCUGGUGGAGGCUCGCAGCGGUUCUGACGUGCAAAUCGAUCGUCAAAUUUGGGUAUAGGGGCGAAAGACUAAUCGAACCAUCUAGUAGCUGGUUCCUGCCGAU
rnacentral:rRNA from 1 species